GCCCCUGUAGUAUAGUGGAUACUGCUUGUGCAGCCAUAAAGUACGUGCGGUUGCGGUCCGUAAGACCGGAGUUCGAUUCUCCGCAGGGGCG
rnacentral:tRNA from 1 species